AUUGAACGCUAGCGGCAUGCCUUACACAUGCAAGUCGAACGGCGUGGCGAACGGGUGAGUACUGUAUCGGAACGUGCCCAGUAGCGGGGGAUAACUACGCGAAAGCGUAGCUAAUACAGCAUACUAGUGGAGCGGUCGUUAUCGGAGUAGCUAGUUGGUGGGGUAACGGCUCACCAAGGCGACGAUCCUUAGCUGGUUUGAGAGGACGAUCAGCCACACUGGGACUGAGACACGGCCCAGACUCCUACGGGAGGCAGCAGUGGGGAAUCUUGGACAAUGGGGGAAAGCCUGACCCAGCCAUGCCGCGUGUGCGAAGAAGGCCUUCGGGUUGUAAAGCACUUUUGGCAGGAAAGCGGUACCUGCAGAAUAAGCACCGGCUAACUACGUGCCAGCAGCCGCGGUAAUAC
rnacentral:rRNA from 1 species